GGGAGUAUAAGAUUCCAGUGGCUUCAUCUUCUGCUCAUACACCUGGUGGUAUGGCAUCUUCUUCUGUUACUACUCCUGGUUCUAGUAUUGGUUGGAAUAGGUUGUAUGCUUUGACAUCCCGACAGAAAUCCGAGGCAUCACCUGAUGUUGUUACUAGUAUGUUACACACUUUUCCCGUGUUGUAUAUUGAUUGCUUGAUCCAGGC
rnacentral:lncRNA from 1 species